rnacentral:rRNA from 1 species
UACGUAGGGGCCUAGCGUUGUCCGGAUUUAUUGGGCGUAAAGAGCUCGUAGGCGGUUCGGUAAGUCAGGUGUGAAAUCUCCACGCUCAACGUGGAGGCGCCACCUGAAACUGCCGUGACUCGAGUCCGGUAGGGGAGUGUGGAAGUUCCCGGUGUGAGCGGUGGAAAUGACGCAGAUAUCAGGAAGAACACCCGUGGCGAAGGCGGCUCUCGUGGGACGGAUACUGACGCUGAGACGCGAAAGCGUGGGGAGCGAACAGG